rnacentral:rRNA from 1 species
GGGCCCGCACAAGCGGUGGAGCAUGUGGUUUAAUUCGAUGGUACGCGAGGAACCUUACCAGGGCUUGACAUGGGGCGGAGCGGGCGUGAAAGCGUCCGGCCCUUCGGGGCCGUCCCACAGGUGCUGCAUGGUUGUCGUCAGCUCGUGCUGUGAAGUGUUGGGUUAAGUCCCGCAACGAGCGCAACCCCUGCCGUCUGUUGCCAGCAAGUGAAGUUGGGGACUCAGGCGGAACUGCCGGUGACAAACCGGAGGAAGGUGGGGACGACGUCAAAUCAUCAUGGCCUUUAUGUCCUGGGCCACACACGUGCUACAAUGGCCGGUACAGAGCGCAGCGAAGCCGCGAGGCAAAGCGAAUCGCCCAAAGCCGGUCUCAGUACGGAUUGGAGUCUGAAACUCGACUCCAUGAAGUUGGAAUCGCUAGUAAUCGCGCAUCAGCAUGGCGCGGUGAAUACGUUCCCGGGCCUU